rnacentral:ncRNA from 1 species
CUGGUUGAUCCUGUCAGUAGUCGUAUGCUUGUUUCAAAAAUUAAACCAUGCAUGUGCAAGUAUGAACUAAUUCAAAUUGUGAAAUUGCGAAUGACUCAUUAAAUCAGUUAUAAUUUGUUUGAUGAUAUCUUACUACUCAGAUAACCGUAGUAAUUCUAGAGUUAAUACGUGCACCAAACCCCAACUUUUAGAAGGGGCACAUUUGUUAGAUAAAAGGUUGACACGAUUUUGUUCGUUGCUCAGAUGAUUCAGGAUAACUUGACGGAUCGCAUGACCUUUGUGCUGGCGACGCAUCCUUUAAAUUUCUGCCCUAUCAACUUUCGGUGGUAGGAUAGGGGCUACCAUGGUGGUGACGGGUGACGGAAAAUUAGGGUUUGAUUCCGGAGAGAGAGUCUGAGAAACGGCUAUCACAUCCAAGGAAGCAAGCAAGCACGCAAAUUACCCAAUCCUGACACGGGGAUGUAAUGACAAUAAAUAACAAUAUCGGGAUCUUUGAGUCUGGUAAUUGGAAUGAGUAUGAUCAUAUAAUUACUCAAUAAAUUGAGCUAAUCAUU